GAUGAAUGCUAGCGGGAGGCCUAACACAUGCAAGUCGAACGAAGUCUUCGGACUUAGUGGCGGACGGGUGAGUAACACGUGGGAACGUGCCUUUAGGUUCGGAAUAACUCAGGGAAACUUGUGCUAAUACCGAAUGUGCCCUUCGGGGGAAAGAUUUAUCGCCUUUAGAGCGGCCCGCGUCUGAUUAGCUAGUUGGUGAGGUAAAGGCUCACCAAGGCGACGAUCAGUAGCUGGUCUGAGAGGAUGAUCAGCCACAUUGGGACUGAGACACGGCCCAAACUCCUACGGGAGGCAGCAGUGGGGAAUCUUGCGCAAUGGGCGAAAGCCUGACGCAGCCAUGCCGCGUGAAUGAUGAAGGUCUUAGGAUUGUAAAAUUCUUUCACCGGGGACGAUAAUGACGGUACCCGGAGAAGAAGCCCCGGCUAACUUCGUGCCAGCCGCCGCGGUAA
rnacentral:rRNA from 1 species